rnacentral:lncRNA from 1 species
CGAAGCCUCGGCUUGACUCGGAGCCGGACUCGGAGCCGCAGCCGCCGCCUUGGCUGGGGUGCAGCUAGUGCGUCUGCUUCGAACCACUUCGCGAGACAGGUAGCGAGAGGACCCAACCACUGCCAGUGCUGUCGUCUUCGCCAGUCCUGCCCUCCUUCCCACCCCCCUCUUACCGCGAGGCCAAGUCUGAAGGGUCCUGGCCAGACCCCCCUAUCCCCCGAGCACCGGCACAACGACCGUUCCUGGGAUGUGCUGCUGUCACAUAAAGUCGAGUUUCUAGCGUUUUUUAUCUAGCGCA